rnacentral:rRNA from 1 species
AUUGAACGCUGGCGGCAUGCUUUACACAUGCAAGUCGAACGGUAACAGGCCGCAAGGUGCUGACGAGUGGCGAACGGGUGAGUAAUGCAUCGGAACGUGCCCAGUCGUGGGGGAUAACGCAGCGAAAGCUGCGCUAAUACCGCAUACGAUCUAUGGACGAAAGCGGGGGACCGUAAGGCCUCGCGCGAUUGGGUUGGCCGAUGUCCGAUUAGCUAGUUGGUGGGGUAAAGGCCCACCAAGGCGAUGAUCGGUAGCGGGUCUGAGAGGAUGAUCAGCCAACCGGGGACGGGGACACGGCCCAGACUCCUACGGGAGGCAGCAGUGGGGAAUUUUGGACAAUGGGGGCAACCCUGAUCCAGCCAUUCCGCGUGAGUGAAGAAGGCCUUCGGGUUGUAAAGCUCUUUUGUCCGGAGCGAAACGGUUGUGGUGAAUAUCCACGACUACUGACGGUACCGGAAGAAUAAGCACCGGCUAACUACGUGCCAGCCGCCGCCGUAACAC